rnacentral:rRNA from 1 species
UCGGGAAUUUUGGGCAAUGGGCGAAAGCCUGACCCAGCAACGCCGCGUGAAGGAUGAAGUAUUUCGGUAUGUAAACUUCGAAAGAAUAGGAAGAAUAAAUGACGGUACUAUUUAUAAGGUCCGGCUAACUACGUGCCAGCAGCCGCGGUAAUACGUAGGGACCAAGCGUUGUUCGGAUUUACUGGGCGUAAAGGGCGCGUAGGCGGCAAUUCAAGUCAUCUGUGAAAUCUCCGGGCUUAACUCGGAACGGUCAGAUGAUACUGCUUUGCUAGAGUGCAGAAGGGGCAAUCGGAAUUCUUGGUGUAGCGGUGAAAUGCGUAGAUAUCAAGAGGAACACCUGAGGUGAAGACGGGUUGCUGGGCUGACACUGACGCUGAGGCGCGAAAGCC